UGCUCACUGAGUGUAUGACCAGCAGCCUC
rnacentral:piRNA from 1 species